GCUGCCUUGGAGGCCUUGAAGUGCUGUAGCAGCACAUCAUGGUUUGCAUGCUCUGCCCAGGGUGCAAAUCAUUUUCUGCUGCUGUAGGAAUUGAAGGCUCAGAAGCACUGGGGGAUCCCCUGUCUCCUUUUCCAGGAGGGAAUUUUGUGUUCUGCCUGCAGGACUCGUGCUCGUUCCGCCCUAGCAGCACGUAAAUAUUGGAGUGUCAAAGAAACCUUCAACCCCAAUAUUAUUGUGCUGCUUCAGCGUGGCAGAGACUCAGCACCUGGGGGGGCUUUAUCUCUGAACUCAUCAGUACUAAUUGAAAUCUGAAUUGUUUAAUUGUUUCAUCAUCUGUGGUCUGCUGCCCUCUCAGAGACGUGGUUUUGCUGAGAAAUGAGAGUGGAAAAUGAAUUGUGCAUAAAAUAAGUGCAACAAAAAUCUCCUGAAUUGUGUUUGUUGUUUACACUUGUUUAGCAGCUCCAGAAAUAGUUUUAACCAGUGUUUAUAACCAAUUACAGUUCACAGCCCAUACUGUAAAAUUAAUCACAAUUUGUCAAUAUAAUAUCAUUUAUAUUCAUGUUUGACCUUCAGAUCCUGAGGCUUGCUUGCAUCUGUUUGCUGUUUUAAAGUCAGGCUGAGGGGAACAACAUUAUUUUUUUUCCUAGUUUUUAAAUAAUGAGAAUUUUGCUAUGUGCCAGCCAAUUAAGAUGUAAAUUAAGCUGCAAGUAUUUACAUAUUAAUUCCAUUAAAUAAUUAUUUUUGCCAUUACCUGUAAUUACUAACAAGUCCCAAAUCUACUCUGGCCUAGAAAUCAGUGAUCAGUGGGAGCUUCCCAAGGUCUGAAAUGUUUAAUAGAGUUUAUUUUAGGCCUGGUUCUGUCAAAGGAGCUUCCAGUUCCCCUCUAAAAUACCAAAAUAUUUAAAGAACUUGUAGCUGGGUGGCUGUGCUUGCUUCACUUCCUCCAGGCUUUCUGUGCAGUCCUUUUUUACAGCUACACCCACAAAAAGAGGAUAUCUCUGUUUGCAAGUCUCCAUGCCAAUUAAUUAUUUCCUCCAACACUUUAUUCCUGUAUUUUCUGCUUCAGGAUGGAGCGAGAAGCACCUCCAAGAAAACAACUUGGAGUAAAUACAUCCUUUUAUUUAUUUAUUUAUUUAUUUUUUUAAUACAGUUGUUCUGCAAUCUCAUUUUGCCAAAAUUUCCAGCAGGGAGAAAUGUAAAGUGAAAGAUGAAGCAGGGUGGGAAUGCUGGGCCAGAGACCCCAAAGCUCACUUAGAGAACAUUUGGAAGAGAAUAUUGAUAGCUUCAUUUCUUUUCUAUUUUUCCCCCCAAAAGGGAUUUGUUUUCUUCUCCCACGAAUUGUUUCAGUGAGGGGAGCAUCCCUUUUUCCCUAAAAGCUGGAAUUUCAGGCUUGCCACCCUCCAAAGGGAAAUAAGGGGAACUAGAGCAAGUAUUAACCAUGAACCAGAGCUUCCCACCAGAAUUUUCAUAUUUCAUCACAGCAGGCUUUGUCUCAGAAGCUGCUCUGAGAUUUUCUGCCUUUUUUAGCCUUUCUGACAGGGCAGGGCCUUUCUCUUUGCCUUUUUAAAGUGAAAUCCACUGAUCUGACGGUCCAAAAUUCAGUAUUUCCAACUGGGAAAUAUUUUCCAGAGAGUGACAGCAGAACUUCAACCCCCAAAUCCUAAAGUUUAUAGUUGAAAGGAAAUGAAACCAUCUAAGGCUGUGGAUUGUUAUCACAAGGAUUGCAUUUUCCCCCCUAAUAUUUUUCAAAUAAUUUAAAAUUGAAGGCAUAAGUAACAGGUUUAUUUGGCUUUUACUCUUUUUUUUUUUAGUAGCAAAACUAAGAGUUUAAUUAAAUUUAACCAAGUAUUUCUCAUUUAAAUUAAGUUAUAAAUCUCUGAUUCUUGACUAUAUCAAUAGAGUGUAAUUAAAAUAUUUCUCUUGCACUCUGGAUUUUGGGGAAAAAUAUUAAGGAAGGAUUAUCAAGUGCUGGUUUGGGUGUGUGACAGAACAUUUACUGUCAGAGCUAAAAAAAAAUGUUGUAGGAGAACAUGUCCUACAUGUAGUACCAACACCUUUAGAGCUUUGAUUUUAUCUUGCUCACAUAAUUGCCAUUACUCAAUGGAAAAUAUUUGCUUUUUAGAAGACUGCUUCAGGUUUUUUUGCUUCCUUUUCCCCCUUUCACCCCCUCUUUUGCAGUGUUUUUCUGCUGAUUUUGGUGCUUUUUAGGGUAAAAUUUGAAAGCUGAGAUUUGCUAUAGGUGUUUCUGCUGAUGCCAAACUGAAAAUAUUCAAAUCAAACUGCUGCUGACUCCUGUGAAUAAAAUCACAAAAAAAACACCAAACCCCACCUGUGGGAAAACAGAAAAUGUGAGAGUAAUUGAGUAGCUCUAGAAAAAAUUACAAAUUCUGGGCCUGAACUUGCAAAUUGAAAUAAAUCUGGUUUCAGAAUUCUUCUGGUUGCAAUGGGAUGUUGCCAGCACAGAACAGGAGGAGUUUGUCACUUCUGGGAUCCUUAACUCCAACACUCCACAGUGCAUGUUUUUCAUGAAUUUCCCUGUGCUUUUAGUGCUUCAGGAAUAGAUAAUUAUUUUGCAUUAUUAUAAAAAUUUAAAAUAAUCACAAAUAUGUUGCAUUUUUAAUGAGCCUGCCACAGCCUGAAACUGCAGCAGGAAAAAGUGCAUCUUGUCACUUAAAAAAAAGAGAGUUUGGGGGGAAAUCUGGCACCUUGCUGCUGCUUUUCUGUCUUUCACACCUUGCAGGAGCUUGGAGGGGUGCAAAGAACAACAAAUAAAAUAAUUGAGCUUUGACAGAAAGCCUUGGAGCUCUGGCCAGACUGGCAAACUCAGAGUGCUUGUGCUGCUCUCUGCUGUGACUCCUCUGGAAGGCUCCAACAUCUCAGAGUUUGUGCUUUCCUCGAGGAAGGAGGAGAGAAAUGGGAGCCCUGGGGAAUGGCAGGCUUGGAAGUGCAGGGGGAAGGAAUAUCUGGGAUCUGUGGCCAUCUCUGGCAUGGGCAAGGUGAGAAGCAGAGUCACCAAAAAGGGUGGGAAAGCCAAGUGGAGCUGCCCAGGUAACCCCCAGCAGCCCCUCUGCACAUCACUAUUGCAGAAUUCAUUCUGCAUUCAUGGCAACCAACUUCUAAAUUUAUUUUAGUUUAUUUCAGAAUCUCACAAAUUAGAAUUGUUUUAAGUCAAUUUUGUCCUAAUUACAGUGAUUUUCACUUGAAUAUAUUUGAUUAAAAUUUAAUUAAAAUAUUCUCCUGUCUUCUUAGGUCUAAACAACUGCAGGGAUUUUAUUUGGUGUAUUUUCUAAGUGGUUUUGUUUGGUGUAUUUUGUAUUUUGGAGCUCAGUUUGAUCCUGUGGCGAGAUGAGGCUGCCAGGAAGGAAAUUCUGUCAGGUUUUUCACCUGCUCCUAUGUGGAAACAAUGUGGGAGUCACUUCCAGGGGAGUGGGGAGGAAAUGGGGGAGAGAUUUUCUUCUCCUUUGAGAUAAAGCAGAGAUUCCCAGUUGUUGAGGUCUGUGCUCCUGGUGGGACACUGGAGCUGAGGCUAUAAAAGGGAUUAUAAAUGGGAUUAUAAAAUAUCUGUGCUGCCAGCAUGGGGGGUGAAGAGAGGGUUAUUCCUGGAGGAAAUUCUGCAGAAAAACAUGCAAAAAUGGGAGGAGAAAAUGAGUGAUAUUUGAAUAUUUUCUUUAGAACACCCCAGUAACAAAUCAAACACUGCAGGUUGGGUUUGCCAAUUCCUGAUUUAAAUCCCAAAGUGACUCUGGAUUUGCACUCACUUUGUGCUCUGAUAUUAAACACAGCAAUGUCCUUAAAACUUGUAGACUUCUUUCCAGAAUGCAGAAUUGUUGUUUUGUGCACACAACUGAAUGCUGCAUAAAGGCUCAAUCUGAGAUUUUCCUCAUCUCUGGCCAGUGGUGACUUUGCAGAUUUUUAUAAAUACUUUUAUUUUGUAUUUGACUUUUAUUUCUCACUCAGUUUUCCUGGAAAGGAAAUUUUGGUGCCUUUUUCCCCUCUGUAUAUUCCCCAUGUGGUAAAAUUGAAGUGUAAAAAUGAGAUAGGACUGCAAGCAUUAAAUAAUAGCAACAAUAACAUGGAAUUACAGGGAAAAAAUCUCAAAACAAUCUGUUGUAACUUCCCAGAGCUGUGUUACAGCAGGAGGACAAGGAGGUUGUGGGAAUAUUGGCUCUCCCCAUUCAUAUUCCAAAAUGCAGAAUUGCAAUUCCUGGGCAGAGCUUUGUGAGAUGGCAUAAAAUAAAUAAAUAAAUGAGACACAAAAAUUUAGGACUGAUUUUUGCCAUUCUUUACUGUACUCCUGCUUAAAAAUGAGAGCUACCAUUGUGGUCAAGUGGGGGGAAAAAAAACCCAAAGCCAAGUGUGAGCACAUAAAAGAAAAAUUAAAAAAUUGAAAUCUGGGAGAGAGGGUGAAAUCAGAGGAAGCUGCAGACAGAGGAAGGGAGACACUUGUCUCAUUUUACUCCCUAAAGGCUUUCUGAAGAGAAAAAUGCACUUUUGGUGCCUUGAUCUCAAGAAAUUGAUGGCACAAACCAGCCAGGAAAUAAGAAUGUAGUGAGAAAACAGAAUUCCACAGCAUCCAGGCUGCUUUUCCUCUGAAUGUUCCUCUCUCACCUUGGCUGUUGCUGCAGUUCCAGGCUGUGUCAGACAGGUGGAACUGGAGCUGACAGAGCCAAGAGCUGAACAGGAGCAGUGACUCUGUGCUGGUGCUGGUUCUGCUCUGUCUGCAGGGCUGGGUAAAGAACAAAGGAAAUGCAGGAGUUGGGACUGGAAUUUCUCUUUUAAAUCUCUAGAAAUUCACCUUUAUGACAAACAUUCCAGGUGGUUUAAUGGGAUUUUUCCUUUGAGCAAAUCCUGUGUCACUCUGCCUUUGCUCCUUGUGGUGCUGAGGAGUUUUCAGCUCCUGGAGAAGCUCUUGCAAAAUCUCCUCAUCUCCAUUUGCCUCAGUGUUUGAGAGAAGUGAAACACUGCUGUGCUCUGGAAAACAGAGUCAAACAGAACUUGACUUUAUUGAGAGAGGUUUGCCCUGUGCUGGGUCACUUCUGUCUCAAUCCCAGGGUAAAAGUGCAGAAAAUGAUGGAAAUUGGGGUGGAAUUUGAAUGAAAAUGGGUUUUUUACAUUUGGACAAACAAAUAGCAGGUUUUAGCUCUGGCUGCUCCAAUCCUCCACAAAAGUGCAAGUCAAGGUGGUUUUUACACUGCUUACAUUAAAUUUUAAUUUCCCAUCCAUUUAUAGAACUAUUUCAUCCCAAAUAUCCCUUAAUCUUGUGAUGCUUGAUAAAUUAUGUGCUAAUCACUGCAUUCAGCUAUUAAUUCCACUUCAUUUAUGUCAUACCAUAAAAAUUGCAAAAUAAUUUGUGUAAUACUCAAUUUAGAAAGCAGAUUGCACAUAUUGAGAAGUUACAAUACUAAGGUAUUAUUGUUGUUAAAUAUUCAUUUACAGGACAAUUGGGAUUCUGCUGGAACAGGUGUUGUGGUUGGAUUACAGUAAAGUUUGCUGAGAGUCAAAGAUUUUGGUGUCACUCCUUCAGGCACUGGAAGGUCACUGUUCAGGCACCCUGGAGCUUCUCCAGCACAGAUCCAAGGCUGGUUUUUUCUCCCAGGAAUUUCUUCCCUCGUGUGGACGUUUGGUUCCUUGUUGGCAUCACCCAUGGCUGGGUGUUGACAUCCAUUUUGAUUGUCUGAGCAGAGCCUGGAUUUCCUUUCUGUUUUACACAUUGCUCCCUGUCCUGAAUCCCUGAGGCACAGGAGGACAACGGAGGGGAGGAACUGCAGAAUUCCAGGGGUUCUGCUGGAGCUUUGGCCCAGCUGGGGGUGCCAGCUCGGGGAGCUCCCGAGCUCCUUCCCUCCGUGCUCCACUAAUGUCGGCCUGCCCCGCCUUGCUUUCACUUUCACAACCUCGGGCCAGCUCAGCAUUCAUGGAGAGCAAGGAGGUUUGGGGCUUCUAAAUUAACAGUUCAAAUAAGGGAUCAAGUAAUGAGUGCUGGGAAUUCUUUAGGAAACACAUAAAUGGAGCUUUAGCAGUUGUAAAAUUUGUUUGCUCUCUUAAUCAUUCUCAAGAAGAGCAGGUACAACUUUUUCCCUCUCCUUUAUCAAUUCAAGGAAACCUUUAAUUUCUUUUCUGGAAACCUUUUUGUUUCUUAAAUCUGUGUUGAACUAAACAGAUUUCUUUAUAUAUUAAUAGUAUAAAUAUUAUAAUACUUAAUACUCUUAUUAUUUCAAUAAUAAUUUAUAAAUAUAUGUAUUUUUUCCCUCAAUAAGAAAAUAAUUCAAGAACUCACAUUAGUGAGCUACAGAGAGACCCCAGAACUGCACCAUCAUCUUUGUUAGAGGUGGUUUAUUCUGUUUAGCCAAAUAAUAAAAAUGUGAUUCAUUGCUUGCUGUCCAUAAUUGCCAUUUUUCCCUGUUGAGUCCAAGGUGGGUUUGUGAUUUCCAUCACUGAGCAUGAGGGCUGUGCAGCCAGUGUGGAAAGCUCUCAGUCCUGAUCAGCACUGGGUUCACUCUUUCCUGUGAUUGUUUCCUCGUGGAUGGAUGUAAACAGAGGAAACGCUGUCAUGCCAGAGCAGAAAGGAUUCUGACAAUCCCAGAAUCGUUGGGGAGGUUGCGGUUUCCUCCCCCAAGGGCUGACAGGCAGCUUUGGGGACACAAUCCACACUUUUGGGGCGAGGGAGCAAAUGGGUAAUUGGGAUUUUUGCCAUCCAGCAGCAGUUAUUCACAAGUUUUGCUUUUUGAGGUGAAAGAAAUAAAAAUAAGAGUUGGGUUGGGGUUUUUUGUCUUGUCAGUAACACAAACUGUCCUUGUUUAAACUGGCUCUGUUUAAUCCUUUCUAAAUCUUAUUUCUGAAAAUUGAAAUUAUUUUUAAUACCACCUGAAUCACUUGAAAUUAAUGUGGUACAUAAAGGGAAAUCACACAAAGGAACCCUCAUACCUAAAGAAUCCUUUUUUUUCUCCACCAAGGAAGCCUCAAUUAAAUUAAUUCCAAUUCCAGUUCAUCCAUCAGCCAGGAUUUUAUGGACUUUGUUUCUAAAGAGACCCUUCAGGGACUUCUAUCCUGAUUAAACUCUCUUGCCAAGGGCCUGCUUUAUUCUCUUCUUCUUUUUUUAGGUUGUGGAAACACAUUUUGAAUCUUUAGAGAAUGAAGGAACAGUCAGACCUAAAGGGUAGCUCCACUUCACCUUGGAGAGGAAACUUCUCUUCAUUCUGAUUUUGUUUCCCCAAAUAAAUGUGAAGGUUGGACUUGGAGAUCUUUUCCAACCUUAAUGAUUCUGUGAUAUUCCAGUUUGAAUAAUUUUAAUUGCUGCCUUAUUUUAUUCUUUUUUAAUAACAUCUCAUACUCAUUCCAUAGAUUUUUUUUUUUUUCAAAAUACUUUUCCCAUCCCAGAAAAAAAAAAAAAACCAACAAAA